GGAUUAGAUACCCUGGUAGUCCACGCCGUAAACGAUGUCUACUAGCCGUUGGGAGGCUUGACCUUUUAGUGGCGCAGCUAACGCGAUAAGUAGACCGCCUGGGGAGUACGGUCGCAAGAUUAAAACUCAAAUGAAUUGACGGGGGCCCGCACAAGCGGUGGAGCAUGUGGUUUAAUUCGAUGCAACGCGAAAAACCUUACCAGGCCUUGACAUCCAGAGAACUUUCCAGAGAUGGAUCGGUGCCUUCGGGAACUCUGAGACAGGUGUUGCAUGGCUGUCGUCAGCUCGUGCCG
rnacentral:rRNA from 1 species